rnacentral:rRNA from 1 species
CCUACGGGUGACAGCAGUGAGGAAUAUUGGUCAAUGGGCGUAAGCCUGAACCAGCCAAGUCGCGUGAGGGAUGAAGGUUCUAUGGAUCGUAAACCUCUUUUAUCAGGGAAUAAAGUGUGGGACGUGUCCUGUUUUGUAUGUACCUUAUGAAUAAGGAUCGGCUAACUCCGUGCCAGCAGCCGCGGUAAUACGGAGGAUCCGUGCGUUAUCCGGAUUUAUUGGGUUUAAAGGGUGCGUAGGCGGCCUUUUAAGGCAGCGGUGAAAGUCUGUGGCUCAACCAUAGAAUUGCCGUUGAAACUGGGAGGCUUGAGUAUGUUUGAGGCAGGCGGAAUGCGUGGGGUAGCGGUGAAAUGCUUAGAUAUCACGCAGAACCCCGAGUGCGAAGGCAGCCUGCCAAGCCAUGACUGACGCUGAUGCACGAAAGCAUGGGGAUCAAACAGGAUUAGAUACCCCAGUAGUC